CCAGAAAGAAGUAGCAGAUGUGUGAUUUUCCUUCUUUCAUUUCCUUAAAGACACCAACAAGGGGGAUUCGGGUUUUAUGCUUUUAUCAGUGGUGACGGUUUUCAAAGGUUAAAAAAAGGGAAUUCCUCCUUCAAAUUUAGUCCCAUCAUUUAGUGUUUGCUUUAAUACAACCUGAAAAUGGAAUUUUAUUCAUUACCCUAUAUUCUAUGAGGUUAGUCUCUUUGAAAUGUUAAAAUUCAAGCAAAUUUGUAGAUUACAUAAUAUAAAUCAUUGACUAAUAGAAAGUGGAUUCAAGGUAGAACAAAAAUUAAAAGAAAGUGGACUCGGGUUAGGACAAGAUUACAACUUUCUCUUUUGCCUCCCCAUUAAUAAUAGUUGAAGAUAAAAUACUUGUACCCAUAAAGUACAUAAAAUUUCCAACACAAAAUUUGAAUAAACUCCAUUGAUUUAAAAAAAGAUCUUAUUGCAGGUCAAAGAAAUUACCAUUCUACACCUUCUCAAUAUGUAGAUAUAUUUUGUUAUGUUGGAAGUACAAAGACAUUGAGCAUGUUAGGGCAAAAAAUCGAACUUAUAGAAUGUUAGAAAAAAAAUACAUCGCUUUUCUAAGAAUUAAAAUGUUCUAAAAUAAACAUAAGACCCAUCAAAUUAAUUCUGGAGCAAAAUCUACACCACGAAAAUGUUCUAAAUAACAUUCAAAAUUGUUAGCCGACAUUAAGGAAAAUCAACGACAAAAUAAAAGGUAAAAAUGACUUCCAAAUCACCACAUUUUCAUAUCACCUAUAACGUUGUAAUUUCUGACUUCAAACACCUUCCAAGGCUCCAAGAUUUGCGUUAUUAGAAUCAUUUUUUUUCAAAAGUGAAGUGAGAGACAGUAAAAAAAAAUGUUGAUUUUAGGGCUUUUAUGUGGAACAAUAGAAAAAAACUCAGUCUUUGAUCAAUUGGAUUAUAGAUUCAUCAUAGAUGAAGAAGAGAGAAAGAAAGAAUAUGAUCAAAAGUUUAUGUAAAAACCAAGGUUGUAAAAAACGUUCGACGUUAGCUAGUCGGUGGACUGGGAUCUAGAGAUUAAUAUGCUAGACGGAGAUUUAUCGGGGGAGUAAUUGGGGACCAUUAAUUGCUAAUUUGUUGAAUUUUAAAAAAUUAAAUAUGACUAAUAUCAUAUCAAAGUUCGUAAAUACCACUAAGAUGAGAACAAAAUAGGUUAAUAUGAUUAAUACAAUACUAAUCAUGCCUCAAAUAGUUUCUAGUGAAAUAAAACUUCUUCAAAAUGUUAAAUUUUGAUCGUUUUAUAAUGUUUCACUCAUUAUGUAUCCAAUGAUUAAUCGCUAGACGCCUUCUAAUCGGUCGAGUAACGCCUAGGGAUUAAUCGGAGAUUGAUCAGGACCUAGUCAUGAUUUUUACAACAGUGGUAAAAAUUUACCUGGAGGGUGGUUCCUGGAACAUAAUGUAUUGAUGACGAAUCUUCGUGGUUGUGAAGAUGGCAUUUAGGAGGUGACAUACGGUGGUGAUAGGUGACUGUAAGUAAUUGUGAU
rnacentral:lncRNA from 1 species